rfam:Dipodomys ordii contig_52216, whole genome shotgun sequence.
GGGAAGCUGGCUCAGUGGUAGAGUGCUUGUCUCACAUGCAUGAGGCCCUGGGUUCGAUUCCUCAGCACCACA